ACUUACCCAUGAUAUUACAGCGCUUAAUUAUCACUGGAUGUAUUAGCCAUCAAGAUGCUACCCAACUAUCCCCAUCAGAUUAAGCAGUGAUAAAUCAUAUAAGAAUCUCAGACCUAAUUUGUUACGAGUAGUCGGGUAAGCAAUCUCUGCGCAACUAUCAAUGCUUAAAAUUAGGAGUGUAAAUGUAAUCUUGGAUGGGAUGCGCAAUAUCUCUUACCCAUAUAAAUAUCUAAGACCAUCCUCUCAGCCCUUUAAUCACGGGGUUCUAUCAUCGACCACUGUGCGCAGAGUAGGCAAUAAAAUCGCAACA
rnacentral:misc_RNA from 1 species